rnacentral:rRNA from 1 species
AUACGGAGGAUCCGAGCGUUAUCCGGAUUUAUUGGGUUUAAAGGGUGCGCAGGCGGGAGAUUAAGUCGGCGGUGAAAUUUUGCCGCUCAACUGUAAAAGUGCCUUCGAAACUGGGUUCCUUGAGUGUAGAUGAAGUAGGCGGAAUUUGGGGUGUAGUGGUGAAAUGCAUAGAUAUCACGAGGAACUCCGAUUGCGCAGGCAGCUUACUAAACUACUACUGACGCUCAGGCACGAAGGCGUGGGGAUCAACCAGGAUUAGAUACCCUGGUAGUCCACGCAGUAAACGAUGAUUACUAGCUGUUUGCGAUACAAUGUAAGCGGCUGAGCGAAAGCGUUAAGUAAUCCACCUGGGGAGUACGUUCGCAAGAAUGAAACUCAAAGGAAUUGACGGGG